UACAGCCAUAUUAUGUUGAAACACUGGUACUCAUCCGAUCACCGAAGUUAAGCAACGUUGAAUCUUGUCAGUAUCUAGACGGGUGACAGCUUGGGAAUGCCAG